GUCACAUGAGCCCUUUAAAAGCAGAAUUUUCUCCAGCUGGUGGCAGAAGAGCAGGAGACUGAAGCAUGAGAAGGACUCAAAGCCCCAGUCCUGCUUGGAACAUGGAGAAGCCAUGUGAGAGGGGAUGUGGGUGGCCUCUGGGAGCAGAAUGACCUCCAGCUGACAGCCAGCAAGGAAAUGGAGGAUGCAGGCCUAAAACUACAAGGCGCUGAGGUCUGCCUACUACCUCAAAGGCUUAAGAGAUUCUUCCCAGAGCCUCCAGAGGAAAGGCCAUUUGAGGACAGAGUGAGAAGGUGGUUGUCUGCAAACAAAAAAAAGUGCCCUCACCAGAAGCCAAUUCUGCUGCUGCUUGGACUUCCAGCCUCCAGAACUGUGAUAAAAUAAAUGUCUGUUGUUUAA